CGGACGGGUGAGUAACGCGUGGGUAACCUGCCUUGUACUGGGGGACAACAGUUAGAAAUGACUGCUAAUACCGCAUAAGCGCACAGUAUCGCAUGAUACAGUGUGAAAAACUCCGGUGGUACAAGAUGGACCCGCGUCUGAUUAGCUAGUUGGUAAGGUAAGGGCUUACCAAGGCGACGAUCAGUAGCCGACCUGAGAGGGUGACCGGCCACAUUGGGACUGAGACACGCCCAA
rnacentral:rRNA from 1 species